rnacentral:misc_RNA from 1 species
GAUGAAGAACGUAGCGAAAUGCGAUAAGUAAUGUGAAUUGCAGAAUUCAGUGAAUCAUCGAAUCUUUGAACGCACAUUGCGCCCGCCAGUAUUCUGGCGGGCAUGCCUGUUCGAGCGUCAUUUCAACCAUCAAGCCCCCGGCUUGUGUUGGGGACCUGCGGCUGCCGCAGGCCCUGAAAACCAGUGGCGGGCUCGCUAGUCACUCCGAGCGUAGUAAUACAUCUCGCUCAGGGCGUGCUGCGGGUUCCGGCCGUUAAAAAGCCUUAUUUACCCAAGGUUGACCUCGGAUCAGGUAGGAAGACCCGCCGAACUUAAGCAUAUCAAUAAGCGGAGGA